AUGAAGGAAAAUAUAUUGAAUUUAUAUAAAAAAAAUUAUAUAUGUGUUAGAAUAAUUAAUUGGAGAAAGUAAAAAGCACGAGAGGGGGUUGAUGUAUUUUGUUUCUUCUCAAAAUAUACGAAUGAAUAAGAAAAUGUAGAAAAUUGGUGAAAAUAUUCAUUGUAAAAUCGAUCAUAUCUAUUCAGAUGUGACGAAUUGAAGAAAAUAAUUCUUACGAAAUCAUUAUCGAUAAUAUAAAAGGACAGGUGUAUUCGAUCGAUCUAUCGUUGAAUAAAGAUGCGAGUUGAAUGGUCGUUGGAGUUGUGGAUGGAAAAUGAGGUUAUUUGUCGAAAGAUACGUAUGAGGAAAUUUCGGCCCAUCGAUAAAGUUAUUUAUCAAAAAGAAAAAAAAAUUAGAAGAAGAGCAAAAAUUAAAGGGAGAAACAUUUGAUACAAUAUGUGGGUAAGAAGAGCCCACUGCUAAUGUGUAUCAGUAAUCCAAUUAUUUUCGCGGGAGGUGUUUUGACAGUUCAUAUACUUAAGCGGAAUGGUGCAGGCUAAGUUCGAAGGCUGAAAUACGCUUUUAAAUCCUCCCUAGCUCGUGUAGCCGAGAGGUAUAAGUGGGGUUAAGCUGGUAUGGUCGUGAGGUCGUGUCAAACACGAUUGUGCGAGGGAGAGAAGCAGAGAAGAAAAUAAAAA
rnacentral:lncRNA from 1 species